rnacentral:rRNA from 1 species
AGAGUUUGAUCCUGGCUCAGAUUGAACGCUGGCGGCGUGCCUAACACAUGCAAGUCCAACGUGAAAGGGGAGCAAUCCCCCGGUAGGGUGGCAAACGGGUGAGUAAUACAUGGGUGAUCUACCUUAGGGAUGGGGAUAUCCUUCCGAAAGGAGGGGCAAUACCGAAUAUUGUCCGGGACCGUGAAGGGUUCCGGGGAAAGGGAGGCCUCUGAUACAAGCUUUCGCCUUAAGAUGAGCCCAUGGCCCAUCAGCUAGUUGGUAGGGUAAAGGCCUACCAAGGCUACGACGGGUCGCUGGUCUGAGAGGACGACCAGCCACACUGGCACUGAGAUACGGGCCAGACUCCUACAGGAGGCGAC